rnacentral:rRNA from 1 species
AUGAUAUUGAUGCAUGCUGAUAUAUCACAUGUUCAAAACCUUGAAAGUGCUCUAGAAAGAGAGAAAGAUGAAGUAUUUGUAAAAGGGGAUAUCAUCAAGGCAUGGAUAUGCUGUCACGAGCAGAGGAUCAGGCUCAUGUAUGGAAGGAGCAUUGGGCUGCCACUGGUUCCACCAUCAGGACUUUGUGAACUCUCUCUCUCUUCAUGUUGUAUUUCAGAUGGAGCUUUAGCAGUUUGCCUUGAUGUCCUGUCUUCACUGAAAAGAUUGUUCUUAGAUGACAUUAUGACUUUAACUGCCCUUCCUUCAGAAGAGGUCCUCCAACAUUUGACAAAACUUGACUUCUUGUUCAUCACAAGUUGCUGGUGUCUCAAGUCAUUAGGGGGUUUACGUGCUGCCACCUCUCUUUCAGAAGUUAGACUGAGUUCCUGCCCUUCUUUAGAGUUGGAACGUGGAGCAGAAUGUUUGCCAUUAUCCAUUGAGAAGAUCUGUAUAUUUAAGUGUGUGCUUGGAUCUGAAUUCCUCUGCACCGAGUGGCCAAAGAUGAACGAUAUUCUUAUAAGUGAGUGCAGAAGCACCGCAUGUUUGUCUGUUGGUAGUCUCACCUCUGUUGAAUCACUCUCACUGUAUCACUUGCCAGAUUUAUGUAUGCUCGAAGGAUUGUCUUCCCUGCAACUUCACCAUGCACAUUUGAUUGAUGUUCCAAACCUCAACGCCGAGUGUAUCUCCCAGUUUCAAGUCCAGCACUCACUCUAUGUUAGCAGCCCUGCAAUACUCAACAACAUGCUCUCGGCAGAAGGUAUUACAGUUCCAACAUUUCUCUCUCUUGAAAAAUGCAAGGAACCAUUUGUUUCAUUUGAAGAAUCCGCAAAUUUCACAUCUGUCAAGGCCCUGAGAUUCUGUGAUUGUCAAAUGACUUCCCUGCCAACAAAUAUGAAGUGUUUCUCCAAUCUGAAGAGUCUCGACAUCUAUGACUGCCCCAACGUAUCAUCUUUACCAGAACUGCCAUCCUCCCUUCAGCACAUAUGUGUUUGGGGUUGUUCUGAGCUGUUGAAGGAGAGCUGCCGAGCACCUGAUGGAGAAAGUUGGCCAAAGGUCGCGCAUAUCCGCUGGAAGGAAUUUAGAGUAUGA